UACGAAGGGGGCUAGCGUUGUUCGGAUUUACUGGGCGUAAAGGGCGCGUAGGCGGUCGUGACAAGUCACUUGUGAAAUCUCCGGGCUUAACUCGGAACGGUCAAGUGAUACUGUCGGACUAGAGUACAGAAGGGGCAACUGGAAUUCUCGGUGUAGCGGUGAAAUGCGUAGAUAUCGAGAGGAACACCUGCGGCGAAGGCGGGUUGCUGGGCUGAUACUGACGCUGAGGCGCGAAAGCUAGGGGAGCGAACGGG
rnacentral:rRNA from 1 species